CCUACGGGGGGCAGCAGUAAGGAAUAUUGGUCAAUGGACGCAAGUCUGAACCAGCCAUGCCGCGUGGAGGAUGAAGGUCCUCUGGAUUGUAAACUUCUUUUAUUUGGGAAGAAACCCACGAUUUCUAUUGUGGUUGACGGUACCAGAUGAAUAAGCACCGGCUAACUCCGUGCCAGCAGCCGCGGUAAUACGGAGGGUGCAAGCGUUACCCGGAUUCACUGGGUUGUAGGGGUGCGGGGGCGGGCGUGUAGACAUCCCCGAGCUUAACUUGGGAACUGCCGUUGAUACUAUCUGUCUUGACUACUGUGGAGGUAAGCGGAAUAUGUCAUGUAGCGGUGAAAUGCUUAGAUAUGACAUAGAACACCUAUUGCGAAGGCAGCUUGCUACACAGUCAUUGACGCUGAGGCACGAAAGCGUGGGGAUCAAACAGGAUUAGAUACCCUAGUAGUC
rnacentral:rRNA from 1 species